rnacentral:snRNA from 1 species
GAAAAAAACUGGAAUGACACAGAGGAGAUUAGCAUGGCCCCUGCGCAAGAAUGACACGCAAAUUCGUGAAGCGUUCCAUGUUAAA